GAAAUCUGAGGUUAAUACUACCUGUUGGGUGUUGUUGUGGUCCAACAUCAGAGUCGAGUUAUAAGCUUAAAUCCUAAUGGGAUCAAAAUUCUUGGGGUCCACCCUAAAACCCUAUAACUGAAGACAAAAUUAAACGCAAUGAACCACAUGAAAGUAACAUCUGCCAUCAGAACCUUGAGAAUUGGAGAGUCUAUACGUACUUGGGAGUACCCAUUCUAAGUAAAGUGUGCUUCCUUUCCUCCACUCAUGAUAACCUUGCCACCUUAGCACUGCGUUUGGGUUUUCAGUUUCAAAACCACAGUAAAGAAAUGUUUCAAAAAUGAAAAACAAAAAGGAAAAGCUUCUGGCUAGGGUUUGCUCUAUAUGGGUUACUAGUCUCUUUCUAAUAAUCAAUAAGAAAGAAAGCAAGAGAGAGAGAGAGAGAGAGAGAGAGAGAGAGAGGGAGAGGGAGAGAUUUGGAAUGAUAUGGUGAUGUAUCUUUAUAGAUAUGGGGAGAAAAUAACAUCAAAAGGAUGAUUACCCGAAAGAAAAGGGAGUGUACCACUGCGGCUGCAUGCACUCUAGGGCACCUCCAAUGAGGUAAGCAGCUCAGGAUUUUGGAUAAGAGGUCAGAUAUAGCUUCACUGGCAAAUCAAAGUCUAAGUUGUUCAUCAGCACAAGACUGUGACUAUUACUCCAAGAACCACACCCAACUCUGAGAGAGGGAGAGAGAAAGAGAGACCCAAAACCAAUGUAAAUGCAUGAUAAGGAAAGCAAAAUCUCAUGAUGGUUGUGUCAAAAUCACACAAAUAACGCAAUCUCAAAAGUUGAACUUGGAACUCUCAGAGAGAGAGAGAGUCUGCAACUGUCAGAUUUGUAGAAAAAGGGAAUGAGACUCAUACAGCUUGAAUUCAAGGAGGGAUUGAAUAUUUCCAUUUACCCAUUCUCUUAUAGACAAUUCAAUGCAUAAAUAAAUAAACAAGGCUAGAAUUUUCUGGCAUGGGGUCACAAUAACGAUUAAAUUAAUUUUUUGUUCAUAGUAAAAACAAAAAUUCUGUACUUCCACAUGAGACAACAACCAUGCAGAUGUUGUGGAAGCCUGGAAGUAGCAUCAAAAGGAAAUGGGAAAUAAAAAUUUCCUAAUAAACAUCUAGUUCUAUUAAUUUAUGAUGGAAUAAUGAACUCAACACCAUAACUUUUCUACAAAGCUUCCAUUGAAGGACAAAAAGAACCCUAACCCUUUUUAUUUUUUCCUCAGUCUUCUCUCACCUUAAGUUUCAAAUAUGAGAAACCAUGUAUACUUGAAAGUAAAAACCUAACUCUUUCACCCCAGAGAUGAAUUGAUACUGAAUUUGUAUCAUUGAUUGCUGCAAUGGCUUAUUGGCAUGCGCUCCAAGUUUCCCAUUAUAAACAUAUUUUGAAUAAAAUUUUCUUCUAUUUCUUACUGAUCUUUUAUAUGUAGCUUCUCAUAAUGUUGUACGAAGUCCGAUAAUAAACGUUUGGUUGUGGGUGCACGAUUUCGAAGUCCAUAAAAAGAUUCAAGGACAUAGAUGACAAGCCAAAUUGGCUGACUGGGGCACAGGAAAUGAUCGUGCAUGGAAUGAGACAAUUGGUAAUAUUCUUGAAAAGUGGAAUAUUCAACUUUAGGGAAGAUGGUUCCUCAAACAAAGCAUGCAAGUAAUGAAGUUUUUGGUGGUGAUAUCCUCGUAUAUAAAAUUAUGAAAAUUGGAUUGCUCUUCAAAAGAUGAGACAGGGGCUCAUUGGAGGAUGGAGUGCUGGAUCAGAGACUGGUUGGGGUUUGUGAGAGAGAGAGAAAGAGAUAUGGAAAGCGGCAGUGGGAAAGUGGAAGAAUGAUGGAGCUUUUCAGGUUCCAAAAUGCUCCAGAAACCAUUUCCCCAUUAAUUGCUUUUGCAUUUAUUUUUGGGGCGCGUGCUCCCUAGUACAAAGGACUAUAGACAUGAUUACAUUGAAUUCUUUAAACAUUCUGCCCCUCUUUUUCUUUUUCUUUUUUUUUUUCUUUUUUUCGAAUAUAUUUCUCCCUACCAUAUGCUGUCUUGUUAAUGGAAGCCAAGGCAUUUCACCCCUCUAAUCCAGGACUUCCUAAGAUUUGAUUCUUUUGCCAUAAGAACCAUACAUACUGUAGGGAAAGAGGACAUGAUACAAGAUUCCCUUCUAUAAGCAAUAUUAUGAAUGCUGUCCACAGUAGGAAGGAAUUAAUUUGUUAAUUUGAAUGCAAUUUUGGAGUAUAUAUGCAGUCAAAGUUUCAACAAGUCUUUUCUGUUUACAUAUUCCACAAAUUUAGUUCUUCAUCUGCAAUGAUGGGCUUGUUAAGUAAACUGAGUUAAUAGCUUCAAAAAAGUUGUUUCAAAGCGCAGUAUGUAGACCCAUGUAGCAUGGUGUGGAGGGGACCCAUAGAAAGGAAGAAACUUAAGGUUGAGAGCAUGAGAGGAAGAGGUAAGUACAAGAAUAUCUUGUGGUCUGGCUUUUGGGACUGGAAAAAGAGAGGACCAUAUCUCCAUUAAAAGGAGAACCCUCAUGAACUCUAAAUCACAACACAUCAUUUUAUUGCAUUCAUUCAUUCAUUCAGAACCCACUUCCUUCCUUCCUUUCUUUCUUUCCAUCCAACAUAUCAUUUCAUUUCAUGCCUUCUCAUCACCUACAUUUCACUGCAGCUUCACUCUCUCUCUCUCUCUCUCUCAUUAAUCAUACCUCGUCAUGCCUUUUCAUCCAAGUAAUUCCUCUGCUACCCUCCCUUUCUAUGCCCUCUUUUGUCCCUUCCCUUUUAUAAUCCUCACUCUGUCAACUUCAGUCCUUCUCUACCAGAUAUUUCUCUGAUAUCCUCUCUACAUCCUUCCAUGUGCCCUCAUCUCCCCCUAUUAUAACCAUCCCUUCUCAGCAUUUUGUGCACCCUCACCUACCUCUCUCUCUCUCUCUCUCUUGGAAUUUUGUUUUCUUCCCUUUGUUUUCUUCUUGUUUCAUUCUGUCAUGGAACCUCAACAACAGCUCCAGCAGCAGCAGCAACAAAACCAACAACAGCCAAACGAGGAUAGCGGCAGCAGCAAAGGCAGUUUUCUGUGCAGGCAAAGCAGUACACGCUGGACUCCUACAACUGACCAGAUAAGAAUAUUGAAGGACCUUUACUACAACAAUGGAGUUAGGUCCCCAAGUGCUGAACAGAUUCAGAGGAUCUCAGCUAGGCUGAGGCAGUACGGCAAGAUCGAAGGCAAGAACGUCUUUUAUUGGUUUCAGAACCAUAAAGCUCGUGAAAGGCAGAAGAAGCGAUUCACUACUGAUAUGCCCAUGCAAAGAUCCCUUGGAAAUGCCGGUUGGAGACCUGAUGAUCCCAUUCACAACAAAUUUCAUACCAUUCCCACUCCUGGUGAACCUAGUCUCUCCAAAAAUCCUCCAUUUUACUCCUUAAUUUUCUCUAUCCUUUCCCUUCUCCUCUUCUUCAAUUUCCUCUCUUCUUGUUAAAAGUUUCAUUUUCUUUUCUGGGUAUUCCAUAUUACUUGUUUUCUUAGUGACAGUGUGUGUGUGUGAUGUGCAGGGAUAUCUUCCCCAUCUUCUUCUUCUUCACCCAGUGUGCUUGCUGUUGGGCAGAUGGGAAGCUUUGGAUAUGGAUCUGUGGAGAGGAGUUUUACAGUAAGUAAUAAACUAUGGUGAAGUUGGUAACCACAAUAAUAAGUGUCACUGUAUUUCUAAUUAUAUAUAUCUUUGAUUGCACUCUUAAAUUGGAAUAUAUGGCAAGAAAGAGACACCAAGUUUAAUCCCCAUGUGUGGAAUAGUGUAGGGUUUAUGUUCUAAAUAUAAUAACACACCAACUCAAAUGAUCUCUUCUUCUCUAACAAUAAAAAGGAGAGACAACAUACACACUUUUACUUUCCACCUUUUAAAACAUCCAUACAAAGGAAGAAUCCUUUUGGUGUUCUUGUAAACAAGCAAGACAUAUAGGGAAAAGCUCAUGAAAAAAAAAAAAAACCCAUUUUCUCUUUAAGCCGAAACGCAGAGAGAGAGAUUUGAAGCUAGCUUUCAUUAUUGUACUCUCUAAUGAUUCUUCCUUUGGGACCAGGACUGUUCAAUAUCAGCAGGUGGUGGUCGUGGUGGGGUUGGUGGAUCUAUAAACCAGAGCUUCGAAUGGGUUGGCAUGGACCCAUAUUCUUCAUCUUAUGCACUCUUUGACAAGAGAAAAACAAUGGGUGAAAGCUUCGAAGAAGAGCAAGAAGAAGAAGCAACUCCGGAGAUUGAAACGCUCCCACUCUUUCCCAUGCACGCUGAGGAUAUCACUGGCUUUUGCAACAUUAAGCCCGAAUCCGACGCCUACUACUCCGGCUGGUACAGGCCCGCCGACGCCAAGACCAGUUCCCGCACUUCUCUUGAGCUUAGCCUCAACUCCUACGCCGGCAGGUCCCCGGAUUCCCCCUGAAUAUUCCUCCAUGCUCAGCAGAUUUUAGCCAUAUAUUUUGGGGCUCAUUACUUUAUUUAGUAAUUGUACUUAGAGACAGUAAUUGUGGCUUGUAUAUGCUCAAGGGUUGGUGGCGUUGGAAUGUCUCUCUACAGUCUACACUUCUUCACUCUAAACCUGCUGGGCAUUUGACACGUCUCAUCACCUUCUUUUAAACAUAUAUUCCUUGAUUUUAAUUUUUUUCUUUUUUCUUUUUUUUAAAUGACAUAAAACAGAAAUAAUUUAAACCAUAAAAAUAUUAACAAGAAAAAAAAAAAAAAAAAACACCUUGCCAAUUGCCUACUAUAAUUAAGGAUACAAAUUUCGAAAAGAAAAAACAUAUGGGCGAAUUCCUAAAUAUAAGAGACUGAAAUGGGUCCCCCCGAGGUGUGAGGUAAGUGCGUCCUACGCUACAGUGAGGGGCUUUCAUCGGUAUCGUAAUCAUACAGCACAGUACUUGGGAAAAAGAUACUACAAUGAUAUCCAACCCCAAAAAUAAAUCAUGAAUAUAAUAUAACAAGGCGGUGUGUGUUGAAAAAAUGAUGAUGAGAUGAAAAAGUAUGUGAAUUGAAUAAUACCCAAACCCCAACUCCAGCCGUUACAGAUAAAAGGAGCGUACAUAUUUUGGAGUUUGAACCCCCCACAUCGUGAAUGUCGCAAAUUAUUUGCCUGUCCCCUCAUCAGCUCUGCCCCAAUUCCCUCCCCCCGCCAAUGGGUUUUUUGCCAUUCUGCUCGCUCCAUUCUUCUUCUUCUUCUUCACUCAUUUUACUGUAUUAAUUUUUAUGGUUAAAAAAAAAAAUUUAAAGAAAAAGAAAAAAGAAAACAAAAUUUACCCGAAAUAAUGAGAAUUUAACAGGUUCGCUCUGGUGAAUCAAUGAAAAUAACUUAGCAUUACUCUUUCAGAAGAAGAGAUCAUUUUUCAAUCUUGAGGGUCCUGCAGUAAUGCAGCUUUUGUCACCGGACUGUUUGGAGUUGACGCACAUGGAUGUUCAAUGACCAGCAUAUUUCUCUUACAAAAAUCAGCCGCUUCUGUAUUUACUUGGCAGCUACCUUUUUUCCCCUGUGCGAGGCCACCGUAUGAACAGAGUAGUAAUUGAAAAGGUCCCCAUCAAGAAGAUUUUGGAUGGAUGGCUUCCUUUAUUUGGUUUGACAAAUUUUCACUCUAUAGCAAGAGAAGACCCUCAUGUCGUUCAGGGUAUUGGAGCUCUAAAGAGAGGCCUCAGCGAGGAAAUUAUAUGGACUAUGCUUCAUUUCUUAGAAGACAGAUAUAUUGAGAUUUAGUGGUAGAUCCAAGGAGAUCUUUAAAGCUUUUUGAGGCUCCAAGUACGUAAUUCCCUUACUAGUAAGGUGAGGCAUCAUAUGCAUCAUCACUCUUUUAUGUCCCUGGUGUAAGUUCUUCAAGGCCCAUAACCAGUUGCUUCAUUUGCUUGCCAUUUUGGACACCUCUCUGCUGUGUUUCAAGUUAUAUAUGUAUAUAUAUAUACACACACAUUCAUUUACUUUUCAAUUAAGGUAAACUGCUUAUUGAUGCAGGACAUAAGGUUUAAUAUGAUUAAUACAUGGGAGAUUCAAGACCAACAUGCCUACACCGGAAUUAGGUAAUAGAAUCAAAAGAGCAUUUAAUAGAUGAUUUACACUUGUAUUGUAAUUUAAUAAAAGAAAUACAAUACAGUGCUGUUUAUGUAAGAAGAGAGAUCUUGAUGAUGCAAACCUUCAGAUUUAGGUAAAACCAUACAAGCAAAAGGCUAAAUGUUGAUAUUAGUACCUCAGAUUCAGGUAGAAGAUCUAAAGCCGGGAUUCACAUUUUAGUACCUCAAGUACAUGAUGUUGCCUCCAGAACAGGGUUUCUGAUAAAUGUAUGCUAUUAUCAAGGAUGGUAAGCCACUGGAGCAUCUAAUAUUUCAAGAAGUGGCUCCCUCAUUAGUGUAAUAACAUAUAAAUUUAUGGUACUGGGCACAGUCCUCUGUAGUCAGUUCUUUAUGUUGCCCCUGCAAAGCCAACUGGUAUUAUGAUAACAAAUGGUGCACAUGGAAAUUCCCACCAAAACUUUCAUCAAUAAUGGAUGAGAAAAGAUGGUGAACCUUUUGACUAUCUCACGCUUAGGAUUACAAGGUGGUUGUACAUGGAAACUCUACUUUCUUCCAGCAUAAGCUCCCAAUUUAGAUAAGUCUGGAAUCCAAAAUGAUAAUUCAGAAGAGCCAGUCACAAACAUCAGACUUCCAGGAGCCCAUUUUAUGACAGGAGGUUCAGUUUCAGUGCUCAUCCAGCUUGCAACCUGGACAGAAAGUAAAAGCAAGCGUUUAAGUGUCAACUUCCAAUGGGAGCAAAAUAACAUGGCAGAUAUAACAUAUAUAUAAACACUGACAGGGACAUAAAUAUGAAUGUACACAUGUACAGAUGCAUGUAUAAAUCGACACACACACACAUAUAUAAAGCAUUUCUAGUUAUAAUUUCACACAUCUCUCCCUAGAUUAAGUAUUAUGCAUUCUGCAAUACUUGGUUGACAGGAAGAGAAAGGAAAAGAAAUGGAAGGUGAGAUGAAAUGUGGAAUAGAUGUGUAUUCCAAAAACAAUAUCAUGCUCCUCUUUCUUGGAUAUGAAACAUACUACAGCCAUAUAUUCUAUUUACAUAGGAUAUCUGUAUAUCCUAUGAGGAGGAAAAAAAAAACAGGAUAUCACAAGGAAAUGUCAAAACCAUAGCUUAACUGGACCUAUGGACGAGCUCCACAGCUCAACCAAAGGCUAAUCAUGAGUCUUUAAUACAAAGAAUCAAAGGGAAAUAGGGAAUGGGGUUAAGUUCAAAGAUACAAGAGCAUAAAGGAAUGUGAUUUAUUUAACAUACUUCUUUGCCACUCCGUACACUCCAUGCAUAGACACUCCCAUCACCUGAGCCUGCCAACAAGCAGAAACAAAGAAAGUUACACUGGCAAGAAUUUUCCCGAUGAAGCUGAUUUUUUUUUCUUCAGUGUAGUGCAAUACAAUUUAGGGAGCCCCAAGUCUCUAUUUAAUUGGAUCCAAAUGCUAGACAACAUAUCUAAGCAAAAAGACAUCAUCAGUUUUUGCUGUGAACAGAAACAGACUAUGGUGAUACAUAUCUAUAUAUAGAUAAAGAAAUAGAAGAAGAAGAAGAAGAAGAAGAAGAAGAUUUUUGAAAAAAUGCUAGAAUGGCAAGAAACUGGACACAGCUUGAACAAGAUUGCAAAUGAAAUAAUUUGUUUCUGACAAUCACUUGAACUCAAGACGGAGUUCUUUUAUAUUAGACAAUGAAGCAUAAAUUUUUAUGCCAGGCAAAACAACCUCAAAGGUUUCUCAAAAUAUGCUAUAUGACAUAUUUUUAAUCCAUCAGCCCCUAAGUCCUUUAGUGGAGGUUAAGGAGAACCACAGGUCACACGUCAUUUACUGCCCCAAGAAGGUAGUUUCCAAAGCCUCAUCUUAAAACUGAAAGACUGAUACUGAUUGGUAUAAAAAAAACUUAUUUGAGAUCUCAAGACAACAUAAAUGCACUACACAAAUUAAUAAAAAACAACCAACACAAAGUGGAAAAGGGACCAAUGAAAUAGUUCCGGAUGCUUUCCUCCUAGAACUGGUUAAGCCAAUUGCAUUACCUGAUAUAACGAACAUUCCCUCGGGACUGAAGGAUGCUUCUAAAGUGGAAGUGCUUGAAACUGGCUUGACAUUGUAUGUGGAUAGCUAAACAAGCAGUGAUUAUAAGACACGUUAGAAAGAACAAUUCACAGGACAAAAGGCUGCCAAUUCAAUAUUUUCAUCAGCUAAAUUCAAGGAAACUAAAUACAAAAGCUAUUUCUUGAGUGUUGGCGGAAAAUAGCUUACAAGCGUGCCACGGAAUGAAUCAAGUACAUGAAUAUGUCCAUCCAUAGUAGUUAAAAGCAUAAGCCUCCCAUCAUUACUGAACUUGACAACAUUUGCAUCAGAUAUAUCUCCCCCAACAGAGAAGAUUUCAAAAGGACCCUUUAAGGAUUCAAAUUUCACCCAAAUUAGUGUGCACUUAAACCAUCAUUUAUUGAUUAAACCAUGUUAAACCCUCACAAUCAUUUGAUCACCAAAUUGAUUAAACCAUGUUAAACCUUCACAAUCAUUUGAUCACCAACCUUAUCAUACUUGCGAGCAUCAAACAGUCUUACGUAUCCUCCAAAUGCAAUUGCAAAGACUAACCCUUGAUCAUCAUAAGCUGUAGCAGGCCUUCCUUGCACACGUAAAAGACCCUAGAGUACAGAAAACACAAUACAAAUUCACUUUAUGAUGAAAUUAAUUUCAGCAUUUGAGCACCAACAAAAUGCCAUGGACUCCACCUGACACUUCUCAGCUCGUUGAUCCCAAAGUAAAACAGUUCGAUCAAGUGAGCCAGAGAUAAAACAUUCUUUUCGAGAGCACAAGCUAAGAGAGACAACCCUUAAAAACAACCAGAGAAAUGAUACUGUCGUCACAAAGAUAAGUUCAGCAUAAGCAAAUUGAACCAAUUGAGAGAAAUGUGUCAAUUGCAUCAGUGACCAUACCUGUCAUGGUGACCUUUAAAGUAACGCAAAUACUUGUUGUCAUGCAAUGAAAGAAGCCGCAAAGAUUCUGAACCAAUUAAUACUUAAGCAUGUAAAAACUGACUUUUAACUAAACUAUAAAUACAUAAAUAAUUGAUAAGCAUACCAUCCCAACCAUUUUUUGAGGAGUAUAUAACUGUUGUAGGAUCAGAAGUGAAGCAGACCAGAUCAACCCCAUACUUUUUGCUAUUAAUUGUCUUCAAACAUCUGGCAAUGAAAGGAAGGUGUCUCUACAAUUCAUGCUGGUAUAGAAAGAAAUAGCUAGCCAACUUGAAAUUUGAGUCUAAAAUAAGUUAAAUGUAGCACAAAUAGAAUAUCAAAUGAGGCAAAGAAAUCCUAAAGAAAGAUACAAAAAUACAACCCAUAACCUUUCCAAUCCUUUUCACCUUUCUAUAACAAACAUGUGAGCCAAUACCUCCACUAAUGCUGGUAAACACAUUUGUUUCAACUUAAAUUUCCAGAAACUGAAAUACUGUCCUGUGCUUGUCAUUGCUCUAGAAAAUUGUGAAACACCGGCAAAAAUUUCCAGUUUCACAUUUACAGGGAACCAAGCCCCAGUGCCAAGGAGAUACAUGGUAUGAUCAACGUUGCAUCUUCUUGACAAGUCAGCAUACAAUGCAAGCACACUGUGAGCUCAUUGUCCAUGAUAGAAACUUAUGAUUUAAUUGAUACUAAAAUGUGUGGUCAAAGAGACUUAAAUUGAUAAAGAAAAAUGAAAAUUAUACAUAAAUAAUAAGCUAAAAUUGAGAGGCAUACGUUCCAGUGGCGACAUCAUACAGGCGAAUGGAUUCAUCGUCACUAGCAGUCACUAGAUAACUUGAUGUCCUAUGAAAAUCCAUUGAACUGAUCCUACCACUCUGCAAAUGGCAAUGAGAGAGUAAAAGAGGCAUUUAAAAGUACACUUAAAGCUAUAUUUGGUUCCAAGGAAGUACUAAGGAAUGAAAAAAGAAAUGUCAAAAGAAAAAUUUUCGUCUCAUGUUCAGUUUUGUCAAGAAAAAUAUGAGGAAAAAAAAAAAUCAAAUAUUACUGAAAUUAAUUAGAAACUGAUCCAUUUCCAAUUAAAACCAAAUUAUUUUCUUUGCUUUGCUUUUUCGUUUCUUUUAUAUUUUCUUCCCAUCCCAUUCUCCCCCAAAUUUUCCCAGAAACAAAAUAUAGCCUUAGUAAAGCGUGCUCUGUAGCAUAAUCUCCCCAAGCAACCGAUUACACAGUCAAUACGAGCCCUAAAGCAAAAUACAAAUCCUCAAAGAAACAAUUACUUGUGAUUUCCCCCACAAGAAUGUAUUACAAAAGCCCUAAAAUAUUCGGUGGCUGAGGGAAUGGAAGGCGUUUCCAAUUCUGAGCAGCCAAACAUGGAAUAAAAACCCAAAUACGAGAGAAAGAGAGAACAAAGAACAAAUUAGAGUAGUAAAAUUACAUAAUCACGAAAAGCCAUGCCAACUUCCAUGCUCUGAAAGAUUUCUUCAGUGAGCUCUAGAGCAACCUUGUCUUCUCUUUCUGAUUGGCCCUGCCCUCCUGUAAAUUAUACACCGAAAUGUAAAUAAUUUCAAAAAUUUUAAAAAUUUGUAGAACAAAUCUGCGGGUGCAGAUUGGAGUAAAGAAAUGGUAAUCCAUCCACAUACCAGCCAUUUGAUUUGUCGUUGUGAAGCCUUCGAAUUCUACAGCUUUGCAUAAAGGCGGCAAAGCCCUGCUAACUUCCGAAUUGUACUAACGUCUUCCAUUCCAUCUAUUCCUUUUUCCCAAACCCCAGGGUUUAAGUAUAUUUUAGAUUAUCUUAGGCCAUGUUCGGUUCCAAAAAAAAAUUUUGAGAGAAAAUGUAUGGGAAGGAAAAUGAACGAAGAAAAAACUUAAAGAAAAAUAAAAAAAUAAAUUUAAAAUUAAUAAAUUAUUUUUAUUUAUUAUUUUAAUUUUAUUUUACUUAUUCGAACACCCUUUAUCAUGACUUCUGCUCGUUGCAUACCUUGAUCCACUACUGUACGAAUAGCAUUUCCUGUUGCGGUUUGCGCAGCAAAUGGCAUCCCUCUUCUUGUACCCCUGAAUCCACAAGUAUAGGCCGAGGACAUAUAAAGAUUAAAUAAAUUUAAAAUAUAUAAAAAAAAUUAAUUAAUCAUAAUUAUAUUUUAACUUUUCUAAUAUUUUUCAUAAUACAAAAAUUUAUUUUUUUAAUAUUUUCGGUAACCAGUUUGUUUUUUUACUUAAUUUUAAAUAGAACUUUAAUAUUUAAUAGUAUUAAGUAUUCAGUUGUUUGUUUUUAUAGUAUUUUAUUUUUAUUAAAUAUGAAAAAAUAAAUAAAACUAAUAUGUUAUUUUUUUCAUAUAAAAAAAUUAAAUAUUUUAUUUUAUUUUAUUCGGUAAAAAGUUUAUAAUAAGUCAUAAAAAGUAGAAAAAUAAACAAUUUAAAGAUUAAAAACAAAUUACUUUAAACAAAAAGUUAAAAAAACAAAAAACAAAUACCCUCCCGUGUAUUUUUUAUAUAUUUUCCUAUUUUUAAAAAUAAAAUUCUUUUAUAAACUAUAGAAAUUUGUAUAAAAAAUAUGUAUUUUAAAAUAUUUUUUAAAUUAAAAAAUUUAUUUUCUCAAGGUUUUAAAAGUUUGAAAAGAGUUUUUAAUUAAGAAUAUAAGAUAAAAUUUUUAGUUAUGAUCUUGAAUUUAUUUGUACUCCAUUAACUGAUGUAAUCUAAUAGUUUAAUAUAUCUAUACAUAUUGGCAUUUUAUGAUUUUAAAUUAAAUAAAAUGGUAAAAGAAGUUUACCAAUUUUUUUUUUUCUAUUUAAUUAUUGUAUUAUAAUCAAACAAAAUUUAAUAAUUAGAGUUUUAAGAGUGAAACUUUAAAAAUUUUAAAAGGUUAAAAAUAUAAAAUCAUUAGUGAAAUAAAACAUAGAUUAGCUUUUAAAACUUAAACUUUGUUAUAUUGAUUUAUUGGAGUGUAUUUAUGAAAAAAAAAACAGUUAAUGUCUGUAGUCCCUAAAAUUUGUUGAAAGUCCAUUUUUACAUUAUUAUUAUUAUUAUUUUUAUAUUAUUUUUAUUUACCUAUUUAUCUAUUUAUUUAUUUUUAGUUUUUAUUUUUAAUUUUUAAUUUUCUUUCUUUUUUUGUUUGUCUCGAGUAAUUGAAAAUAUUUUUCCAACAACUUUCUAUCAACAUAAGUGAUAUUUUCUUAAAUAAAAAUUACAUCUCAUAUAUGAGGGUUGGAUGCAUGGUAUUUAGACACAAUAAUAUUCACGUAUUUCACAUUAUUUAUUUAUUAUUGUAGAUGUCGAGUACAUCAUGGGUGGUAUUAGAAGUACAUAGCUUCUUAAGUAUACAACUAAGGUGGUGUUUGUUUUUGUUGUAUCGAUUUCUUAGAGUGUAUUUUUUACAUUAUUAUUAUUAUUAUUUUACUUUUGUUUACCUAUUUAUUAUUUUUUUUUUUCCCAUUUUUUUCCGUUUGUCUCGAGUACUUGAAAAUAUUUUUUCCAACAACUUUCUAUUGACAUAAGUGAUAUUUUCUUAAAUAAAAAUUAUCUCAUUUAUGAGGAUCGGAUGUAUGGUAUUUAGACACAAUAAUAUUCACGUAUUUCACAUUAUUUAUUUAUUAUUGUAGACGUUGAGUACAUCAUGGGUGGUAUUAGAAGUACAUAGCUUCUUAAGUAUACAACGAAGAGUCCUUACAUGCACAACUUAAGUUAUGCAUUAUUUUAAGAUGUGUCAACUUAGUGUUUUAAGGGGUGCUCUGUUUUUGCCUAUAGUACUUGUAAGUUGUAAGGUGUGCAACUUCAAUCCAUAAAUAUUUCAAUUCUUAAUAAAUUUUUUUAAAAAAUAUUAAAUAUUAAAUACACUUUUCAUAAAAAGUCACAUUUUAUUUUUUUAUUUUUUAUAAAGUUAAAAUUUUAGUCAAACAAAAUGUUAAAAUUACUGUCAAAUUUUUAUUUUAUAUAAAUAAAAUUUUUUAAUAUUUUAACUAAGUAAAAGGUUAUAACUAUAGUCAAAUUAAAAACACUAGCAAAAAGUUAAAACCUUUAUCAUUUAUUUUGAUUUUCACAUGAAAUUUUAAAAAAGUUUAAAUAAUAUAAAUAAUGAAAUAAAUAUGAUAAAUAUAUUUUUAUUUAAUCUAAAUAUGGUGAAAUUUAUUAAUUAAAUAAAUAAAUAUUGUAUUUAGCAUGAAUAUUGAAAGCCUUAUGUCUUAAACUUCUAAAUUUAUUUAUUAUAUAUUAUUAUUUUGUAUUUAAAGUGUCUAUAAAUAAUUGAAAUAAAUACAUAUGAAAAUGUGAAAAGGUAAAAAAAAAAUGAAAUUAAAAAGGUUUCAAGAGAGAACAUAUAGCCAACAUAUUAAAAAAUAGGGAUAAUUGUGUUUUGGACCUAGUGGACUCAAAAAUUAAGCUUUGAUUAAUAUAAGUUCACUAUUUAAGCUCAAGACCUAGAGCAAGUGUGGAAAUUGAGAAAAAGGAUAUGACGUUUUUAUCUUUCAAAAAAUGAUCUUUAUUAACUAUGAAAAAAAAGUAGAAAAACAUUAAUUUAAAUUUAUUUUAUUUGCAAACCUCAAUAAAAUUUAAUAUAAUUUAGUGAUUUAAAAAAAAUACACCAUUUUCCAAAAAAAUAAAAAUGAAUUAUUAUUAUUUAAAAAUCAAAUGUCUUGAAAAAUAUAUAUUUUUAAAAUUAUGUAUAUAAAAAAUAACUGAAAAUAUGUCAAAUUAAUUUUUUUUAAGUGAUAUAUUUUUACAAUAUAUAUAUUUUUUAAAUUAGUUUUCUUAAAAUAAUAAAUUUUUAGAAUAAUUAUUAAAAAAAAUUAAGAUAAAAAAAUUUCUCAAAUAUUAUGAUAGAAAAUAGUUUUAAAGGGUAUAUUGAUCUUUUUAUAUUUCAUAUUAUUUUCAUUAAUUAUGUAACUUUUAUGAGUCAAAUCUUGAUUUUUCGAUCCAAUUAAACCAAAAGAUAAUUGUUCCUAAAAAAUAAGGUGAAACUUGACUCGGAGGUAACACGGAGGAGGCAAAAAAAAUUGAUAAGUCGGUUUUGAUCCACUUAACUUGUCAUGUCAAAUUCAAAAGAAAAAAAAAAUUGAGAUAAUCGAUCGAGAAUAGAAAAAAGUUGAAUAGUUUUGAAAUUAUGGUAAUAUUACCAUUGAAGUACAUGUGACAGAGAUUAUUUUUCUGAACUUGUACGUAUUCCAAGACCUGAAAGUUUAACUUCUCAAAAAUUAUAUAUACUUGUUUAUGUAAUAUAAAUAAAAGAUUAUCGUUUCAUUUUUUUUAUAAUUUUAAUUUUUCACUUUUUAUUUUCAAACGUGAGUUAAUCACAUGAAGAGAAAAUAAUUAAAAAAAAAAGAUAAAAAUAACAUUUUAUCCUUUAUUAUAGCUAAAAUUCAUUUAUAAACCUUAAGAUAUUAUUUGUUUUAAUUCUUUACAAAAGGUUGAUCUUAACUUUAAAAUAUGUCUUAACUUUCUUUCAUUUCCCACUUGAUUUUUAAUUUUUAAUUUUUAUUUCACAACCCAUCACCUAGCACAUUUUAUUUUAUUUCAAAUGGUUAUACACUUUUCAUUAUCAUUUUAUUUAUUUAUUUACUUAUUUUGAAUUUUUUUAGUUGUUUAGGUCUACCUAUGAUCAAUAUUCAGAUUUUCCCUAUUUUUAUCAAUAAUUUAAUCUAUAUUCAUAAUUUUUCAAAGUUUUUGAUCUAAAAGUUAAAUAUAUAAACCCUAAUUUAGGUUGAGAUCUUUAAAAUAUUCAAAAUUAAUUAAAAAAUGUAAAUUAAUAAUUCAAAUAUUAAAAUUUUUACCCAUAAAAUUGAUUUUCAGAUCCUAAACAUCAUAAACAUUCAAAUUUUUAAUCAUAAUGGUGCCCUACAUUCUGUAUCUCCCUCCCAUCUCUAUGUAAACAGGUUUUAUGAAUAAAGAAAAUAAAAAAUAUAUAAUUUAUACGUAAAACUUUUAAAAGCAAAAAAUAACUUUUAUACCCUUAUCAAAUUAAUUCUAUUUAUUUAUUUAUUUUCAAAAUUAUGAUUUUACGUUUAGGUAGUUGCAAUAUAUAUGUAUAUAUUUCUUUUUUUGUAAAGAGCAAAGUGAUUAAAAAAAAUUCAAAUAAAUCUAAAAGAGAUUGUAAUUUAUUUAUUUAUUAAUAACAAUAAAAAAAAUUUUAGAAUAUUAUUUUUAUUAAAAAAAUGAACAACUCGAUAUUAUUCUGUUGAGGUACUUAUGGACAUUUAAGAAAAAAGAUGGUUAAUUUAUAUGACCAUUUCAAAUUAGUUGAAAUAUGAUAUGGGCAUUUGUGGAAAAAAGCGUUGGUUUGAGGGGCAAUUCUGAAAUUGUAGGAAGGUAAUGGUUGGAGUCCAUUUUCAAUGAUUAUUUGAUCUCAUUGUGUACUUGUCAUGAAAAGCAAAUUUUGGGGUGCUAAUUUUUUUUUUUUUUGGAAAUAACGUAUACUUGCGUGAUUCUCCCAAAUAUAAAUCCAAAUAGAAUCUGAUCUCUGGUCGAUUUUUAACCCAAAGGCUGACUGGCUCAGUACAGCCUGAAUUGGAUCCGACCAACGCAUGUCGCACUCCUACAGUCCUACCUCAAGGCGACAAACUCAUCCUGACACGACAGAUUGACACCCUAAGAACGAAACCGAAUUUUAAUGCGAGGGUGCCACUAUCCCAAAAACACCGGGCCCUAGGCGCAGUCCAAUCAAACAUUGAGUUGGGCCGGUCCACUUCAAAUUGAAUCGGAAAUCAUGGGAUGGGCGAAGCAGCUGGGCCUGUCACGUUUGCAUGAGUGUUGGCCGACAAAGUAUGGUUCACAGCAAAUCGACGGUUUCAUCUACCGUUCCAAACGUGGGUCCCUUUCUCCCAAAUUUUAAUACAACUUCAUGUGCGUUGAUCCAUUGCAUCAAUCCUAUUAGAAUACAUCAACCACAGUCCACCUGUGUCGCACUGGAAUACGCAUAAGUUCUAACACUUUCAUCCAAACAAGCCUUUACUUGGAUUUUUCAUUUUCAGAGACUUAAUUAGAAACACUUUUGACAACAAUAACCAACAAAAGAAAAAAGAAAAAAAAAAAAGAAAGAAAAAUCCUCUACUUAAUUUCCUUCCCCCUGUAAAUUUCAUACACAUCAAUUUACAAUCUAUCAUCUCACACCAGGCGAAUUAAUGGGCAUAACCAUCCUUGGAAACAAAAGGUCAGACAAAUUUGAUAAACUGCGAGCCACGGUCGAAAUACCACCUAUGAUCACAUGACCGGCACGGGCAUGGCCGUAUCCAUGGAACUGCUAGCAGUGGAGUCACGGUUAUCCCCCGGCGACGCAGAUUUCUUUAUGAACUCUAUGCAGUCGGCAACGGCUUCGCUGUGGUGGGGUUCAUUUGGGUAGUAAGACCGCGGCACGUCGCGGGAUCCACUAUGGCUUGUGGCCUUAGACAGAGCAGUCAACAUGAUCAACCGAAACACCGCUUCCCGGAAACGUUCCAGAAGCGACAUCGCUGGCGACAACCGGUUGUUGGUGGUGCUGCUGCUGCUUUUGCAGGAGGUGUUGCUCCUCAUGAGCCUGGGGAUGCAUAAGUGGCUCUUCAUCAUGUUCCUCCUUCUUCCUUUGGAUUUCUCCAUCUUGGCGGUGGGCGUUGGUCUUUGUUAAUAGGCUGUAGGAAGGUGAAUGAGAAUCCACGAGACAGCUCUUAUAUUAUUACUCUAUAUGCAUUGGUUGGGCUGAGGCUGCGAGCUUCAAAUAUAAUCUGGCUGACUGGCUCGAAAGCCUAUAUGUAACGCAUGUGGCUUGUGGCCGAGCCUCUAGAACUUUCGUCUUUUCUGCCUAGGAGGUUUUAUCCAGUAACAGCCUGCCACAUAACAGGAGCAGACUUGUAAUUUGCCUUUUCAUUCUUUUAAAAUUUCUAAUGGCCGCUCUCCCUGAUGGUUUAAUCAUGAUGAUCAAA
rnacentral:lncRNA from 1 species